UUUUGAGGUACCUGUCCGUCUUUAUGUGUGCUUGGAAGGAAGGAAGGAAGGGAACAGUGAUAUCGAUAGGACAACCAUUAAUAGAUGGUAUGUGAAAACACUUGUGUGCUACCUUUCUACGCUGGUGAUUUUAACUUUAAGAUAUCGCCAAUGGAAGAACUCGAACAUUCAGUUAACAUUUGCAGGUCUUCAACUCAUGAUCUUUAAACAUGGUUGGGUCACGGCUACCUGAAAGAGUGUCUCUUCAUCU